ensembl:lncRNA
CAAGGUAAAGGGAUCAUUUCAUACACCAUAAGGAAGAAAACAGUGACCUCAAAUAAAUGUCAUGCUACGUUUUCCUAUUAUUAGAAUUUUAAAAUUAAGUUUAUCGAGCGUUCUUAUAUACAUAUGUAGCUAUGUGUCAUAUAUAUAGCCCUAUUGUACAAACAUAAGGGAGAAAUAAACUGAUAAGUCAUUUUUUAUCUUCACGUUCAGCAAAUAUCUGAAUGUGAAAAACAUCCUCACAUUCAGAGGCUACCUUUUUCAAAUCACUUUUUGAGUUGAGUUUUCUAUGUCUACAUUAUCCUUAAAGCAUUGAUCCCUAUGCCAUGGUGCACUGGCAAUUCAGCAAUGCUUAAAAGAGUGCUUGGUUCUUGCCUCUGGCAUUUUCUUCUCAGGCGAGUACACCCAUCCCACAAAUUAUACAGCAUUAUUUGUGACUUAAUCUUUUGUGAGGCUUCACAAAUUAAGUCAGAUUUUGAAAGAUUAUCUUCACUCUGAAAAUAUUUAUACGGUAUUUAUGUAAAUAAAAGGCAUCUAGUAAAACAUAAUAACCUUUUUUUGGGUCACAAUGACUCAAGAUUCCUUCAAUAUGAGUCAAGCAACAGAAUCUUGAUUGAAAUGGAUUAUAAGUUAAUGAAGUAUGAAAUAUAUAGGAUUGGUAUUUUGAAUAUUUACUGUUACUCCUCAUAAUUUUACUUAGUGCCAUUCUUUUAGUUCUUGUUUAUAAUUUACUAUUCAUCUUAAUAACUGUAUUUUUGUUAAAUUUGUGUAGAGAUGAGAAUCUUGAUCAAGGCUAUCUACUAAACUUCUCUUCACCACCCUAAAUGAGUGAGAUUUGGAUUUCCUUCUUCUCCACUUAAACUGGGCAAGAGUUUCCCAAGAGCUUCCCAGAAAUGUUUUAGAAUAAAUUAAUGAAAAGUUUAAAAUUAACUCAAGAAAGAGUAAGCAAAGAAGAAACAUUUAUUGAAGCUGUAAGACAUAGUGCACAUGUGUUGCUUGUUUUUGAGAUGGGGUUUCCCUAUGUUGGUCAGACUGGUCUUGAACUCCUGAACCAACUCCUUGAUCUUGGAGUUCCAGCCUCCACAACUGUGAGGAAGAAAUCCUGUGGUUUAAGCCACCUGAUCUGUGGCAUUUGUUAUGGCAGCCUGAGCUGACUAAUACACCUCAUUUGGAUCUGGAACAUGCAAUCUGCCUGGGCAUCUUGUGGUCAGGUGAGCAUGACUCUGAAAAUGAGGCUGGCUGUGGAUGGGAUGAAUUUAGGGAAAGGGAGGGAGGGUGUCUGGAGGCCAGAGUAGAGUGGAGCUGAUGAUCCUUCGCUUGUGAAACUCUAAAGUAUAAUUUCUCCCUGUGUGACCUAACUGGUAACCAAUGUUUCCAGGGGCAGGGGUGGGCUUGGGAGUUAAGUUUUGGGGGCAUAAUUCUGUUCUUUGCCAGAAAAGCUGACACCUCUAUCUCCUCCUGCCCCUCCUACAAGUUGGAAUUCCUAAUUCCAUCAUUAGAGCCUUCUACAGCUUAAUGCCAUGUGUACUAAAUUUGUAGGAUCAUUGGAAUCAUCUCAGGGUAUUUUACAGAAGGUCUGCGUCUGGGCUCAGACUCACUGAAACAGAAUAUCAGAGGUAUAGGAAGAGGUUUCCAGAUCAGGUGGUGACGUGCUCCCAGAUUUGGAAGGUAGUGGGCUUUGGGUGUUGGUGGUGAUAUUGUGGUGGUGCUGGUGUAGUUAGUCACUCUGGGUUGCUUGUUCCCCAAGAGUCAACAAGUAGAAGUGGAUGGGUGAUGAGGGGAUCCUUUAAAUGACCAGGGAAGG